CGCCAUGGCCGACUAUUCCACCGUGCCCCCUCCCGCCGCGGGCGCGCCCGGGGGAGCCGGCGGCGGCGCCGGCGGAGUGAACGAUGCCUUUAAGGACGCGCUGCAGAGGGCGAGGCAGAUCGCAGCGAAAAUUGGAGGAGAUGCUGGCACAUCAAUGAACUCGAACGACUACGGUUACGGAGGGCAGAAAAGGCCUCUGGAGGAUGGAGAUCAACCAGAUGCUAAGAAAGUUGCUCCUCAGAAUGACUCUUUUGGAAAUCAGCUACCACCGAUGCAUCAGCAACAAAGGUCUGUGAUGACAGAGGAAUACAAAGUUCCAGAUGGGAUGGUUGGAUUCAUCAUUGGCAGAGGUGGAGAGCAGAUCUCCCGCAUCCAGCAAGAGUCUGGCUGUAAAAUACAGAUUGCACCCGAUAGUGGAGGCCUGCCUGAGCGAUCAUGUAUGCUGACUGGAACACCAGAGUCUGUUCAAUCAGCCAAAAGAUUACUUGAUCAGAUAGUUGAAAAGGGAAGACCUGCACCUGGCUUUCAUCACGGUGAUGGACCUGGAAAUGCAGUCCAAGAAAUUAUGAUUCCAGCAAGUAAAGCUGGAUUAGUUAUUGGGAAAGGUGGAGAGACAAUUAAACAGUUACAGGAGCGGGCAGGUGUCAAAAUGGUCAUGAUUCAAGAUGGACCACAGAACACUGGUGCAGACAAGCCCCUUAGGAUAACUGGAGACCCUUACAAAGUUCAACAAGCCAAGGAAAUGGUGCUGGAGUUAAUCCGUGAUCAAGGUGGCUUUAGAGAGGUGCGCAACGAGUAUGGGUCAAGAAUAGGAGGAAAUGAAGGGAUAGACGUUCCAAUACCACGCUUUGCUGUAGGAAUUGUGAUCGGAAGGAACGGAGAGAUGAUCAAAAAGAUCCAGAACGAUGCUGGUGUUAGGAUCCAGUUCAAGCCAGAUGAUGGAACGACUCCAGACAGAAUAGCCCAGAUCACGGGGCCCCCUGACAGAUGUCAGCACGCUGCAGAAAUUAUUACAGAUCUGCUUCGCAGUGUCCAGGCUGGUAACCCUGGUGGGCCAGGACCUGGUGGUCGAGGAAGGGGGAGAGGCCAAGGCAACUGGAACAUGGGGCCUCCUGGUGGAUUACAGGAGUUCAACUUCAUUGUCCCUACUGGCAAAACUGGAUUAAUCAUUGGCAAAGGUGGGGAAACGAUUAAAAGCAUAAGCCAACAGUCUGGUGCUAGAAUAGAACUUCAGAGGAACCCUCCACCUAACGCAGAUCCCAACAUGAAGAUGUUCACCAUCCGUGGAACCCCCCAGCAGAUCGAUUAUGCACGACAGCUGAUAGAGGAAAAGAUUGGAGGUCCGGUGAAUCCAUUGGGACCACCUGUUCCCCAUGGACCUCACGGUGUGGUUCCCGGCCCACACGGACCUCCUGGCCCUCCAGGUCCCGGUGCUCCCAUGGGACCCUACAAUCCAGCUCCCUACAAUCCAGGCCCUCCUGGCCCUGCCCCUCACGGUCCCCCAGCUCCGUACGCUCCACAGGGAUGGGGAAAUGCUUACCCACACUGGCAGCCACCCAACCCCCCCGAUCCAGGUAAGCCAGGAACAGAUCCCAAUUCAGCAGCGUGGGCAGCUUAUUAUGCUCACUAUUACCAGCAGCAAGCACAGCCACCACCUGCAGCCCCUCCCGGUGGACCAGCCACCACCCAGACUAAUGGACAAGGAGAUCAGCCCAAUCCAGCACCAGCAGGGCAGGUUGACUACACCAAGGCCUGGGAGGAGUACUACAAAAAAAUGGGCCAAGCCGUGCCCGCCCCUACCGGAGCUCCGCCGGGCGGGCAGCCCGAUUACAGCGCGGCGUGGGCCGAGUAUUACCGGCAACAAGCAGCUUACUACGCUCAGAGCAGCCCGCAGGGGAUGCCACAACACCCUCCAGCGCCGCAGGUGUGAUCCAGCCAGUGUAGCACUAGCUCUGUAGGGGUGAGGAGGACUGUGCUGUGUUAUCACCCUUGAGUGUUCCUUCAAGGAGCAUUGCACUGUAAGUACAUCAGAAUGACAAAUGGAUGAACUGCAACAGUAUCUUUUUGUCAAUUAAUGUUCCACAUAAUGCAAAAUGUACUUGUGUGAUAUUAUGUUGGAAUACAGUGCUGAUAAUCUUAGGAACUCCUGAUUGCUGCUUCAUUCACAAACGUAGCUUUGCUUAUCUCUCUCUCUAUAUAUUUACAUACACAUAAUAUGAGUUUUGUGGGUAAGUAUUCCUGAAACUUUUAGCACUAGCUAAAGCAAAUCAUGUUUCUGUUUCUCUGAGUAAUAGCUUUUCUCAUUAGCACUCCUGAGACAGCUGUCAUUCAGUGUUUUAAAGUUUGCAUAUCGUAACAUUGAAGUCUUUGGAACCACUUGUUAGCCAGAAGUUGUCUUUGUCUUCAGCCAGUUUGUGGAUAUGUAGUGAUGUAGGUAUGUUUUAAAUAAUUCUAUAACUGUUAAUUGCUUAAUUUUUUUUUUUUUUUUGGAACACCAUGUUGUUGCUUUGAGAAUUAAAUUUUUUUAGGGUGGCUGCACAGAGAAGUAAAAGUUAAGGCUUGAAAACUGAAGUAGUUUAUAUUCAGGUAAUCAGCAAUGUAUGUAUUGUGCUGUAGAAAUAGAAGGAAUUAUUUUUAUCCCUUUUAAAAGUAGGAAUGAUGCUGGUAGCUUGAAAAAGGCUAGGACAGUAUUUGCUAUCUUUAGUGUAGGGCAUUAAGUUUAAUAGUUCAGGUAUUUUGCAUGGUAUUUUGUAGAUAACCUUACAGAAUGGUGCAUUUAUUAUGUACUAAACUGAGCAAAAAUUAAAUUCACUGGAUUCUUUAUCAGUCACAAAAUGGAGGCUGUUGAUUUUGAUUCAUUUAAGGUAUAAAAUCUUUAUUAAUUGCAAACAGUGCAAUUAUUUAUACUUCACAGUGCCUUCCCAGACCUUCCACCUUAGGUUCUGCUGCAAAAAAGCAACAGGCAUUUAAUCAUCACUGAAGAAAGGGAAGUGAGGUGCUGUGAUCCCUUCACUGUAGCUUGUCUCCAGUGAACACUCACCUAAAGAGGAGCCUGUGCUUUGCAAACUGCAGUCAAGGACUAAAGACCAAACCCCCUUCAGAGACACCCCAGAGUACCUGGGAAAAGACUUUCACUUCAGAUUUGGACAACCACUGCAGAGCAGAUGAAGCUGCAUGUUUGUUAGAAGAUUUCUUUUGAUGCAGCCAAUUUGCUCACUGUUUUAUAUUACUUGGUAAAUAAAAGCAUGUCCAUGAGGGUGGGAGAAGGGAACUGCACCUCAGGUUAGAACAGCUGGUGACUUCAAGGGCACUCUGUGUCAUUUUCUCCUCCUUUGCUGCCCAACCCCAAACAAAAAGGUGCAUUGUUGACAUAAGGAGAAUGUCACUGGUGUGAAAAAGUGAAGGUGGAGGUGGAGCAGUAAACUACAAUUUGGGUAUCUGCCCCUACCUCGAACCCUCUCAGUGUGGACCAGCUGAGAAUUUCCGUGUUUCAGCUUUCUGGAGGUUCUGUGGUGUUGGUUUUGUGUGGGUUUGUUUCUGUAGAAUACACAUUUCUUGAAUGUUUUUGAAGUGUAGUCAAUAUAGUGAUCUUGAUCUGCUUGUCUAAGAAUGUCCAUUCAUAACUGCAGUCUGUUGAAGUUAGCAAAGUCCUAUAAAUAACAUUUUCUAACUUUCUAUGGAAGAUUAAACCCUCGUUUCUUGUUAA